GGAGUGAAUGUAAGCAGAGAGCAGUGAUACAGACUCGAGCUCGACUGUUCAACCCAAUCCGCACAGGAUGAAGACUGAGACUGAACAUUUGAACAUUGAUGUUAUUUUUGAGGUCGGGACACUUACUGGAGAGCUCGUCAUGUUGGGGUUUUUUGUUUGUUUGUUUAAAGAUAGCCAAUUCACAUUGACCAUCGAGUUGCUAUUCAGGUGUAGUUUUUUUUUUCCGAACUAGAAAUGUUUUUAAUAUCAGCAAGCAUGCCCUCCACGUUGAGGAGGAUUUUGUUGUUGUUUUAAAUGCGUAAAAAGGAAGAAAAAAAAGUUCAUUGCUGCGUAAUUACGCAAUUUGUGUGACCAUAGGACUCAAUUCACGAUCACCAGCUUCUCUUUCAACGGCAGGACUUUAAACAUAGACUGACUCCAAACUUCAGAAGCCCCUUUUCUGAACACUUUUUAAAACACUCAGUGCACAAUUCAGGACCAAUGCUUUUUCCUCCCCCCUGACGCGCAUUCUUUCUGCCUAGUGCUUCAACUUUGUAGUUUCUGUGUCAGAUGACGUUUUUUUUUAUAUCGAUGUAUUUAUACCGGCCAAACUUUUUUAUACAUAGAAGUAUUGUUCUCGUACAGGUCUCGUUUGUGUUUGUGCACAUAACACCUGUCUGUAUCCAGCGCGGAAGGGCUAGAAGUGUAUCUUAUUUAAAACAAAACAACAAAAAAAAUGUCCGACUUCUCUCACUUUUAUGGAGAUUUGAGUGUGUCAUGAUUUUCUACUUGUAUUUUUGUACAAAAUCUAUAGAGAAAAAAAAGGAGGGGGGACGUUUUUUUUUUUCUUCUUCCGGCGAGUGGGUAGCCUACAACAUUGUUGUUUGGAUCUACAUUGGUGUUUUAGUCGUGCAGAGAGAGGGAGGGGUGGGGGGUUUGUUUGGCACAAUCUGACCUCACAGUGUUUACAGUAUUUACCCACAUGCUUCUUAAUGGCACAGUGACUCCAGCUUCACCAGCG
ensembl:lncRNA